GGAGUUAGUCGGUGCUUCUUCUGUGAGUGAUGUCCUUCCUGCCGGCUAUUAACCCGCAGGCCUUCUUCCUCACUGAAAGUGCUUUACAACCCGAAGGCCUUCUUCACACACGCGGCAUGGCUGGAUCAGGGUUGCCCCCAUUGUCCAAUAUUCCCCACUGCUGCCUCCCGUAGGAGUCUGGGCCGUGUCUCAGUCCCAGUGUGGCUGAUCAUCCUCUCAGACCAGCUACGGAUCGUCGCCUUGGUGAGCCGUUACCUCACCAACCAGCUAAUCCGACAUAGGCUCAUCCGAUAGCGCGAGGCCCGAAGGUCCCCCGCUUUCCCCCGUAGGGCGUAUGCGGUAUUAGCCUGGGUUUCCCCAGGUUAUCCCCCACUACCGGGCAGAUUCCUAUGCAUUACUCACCCGUCCGCCGCUCGCCACCAGGGAGCAAGCUCCCCGUGCUGCCGCUCGACUUGCAUGUGUUAGGCCUGCCGCCAGCGUUCAAUCUGAGCCAGAAUCAAACUCUGA
rnacentral:rRNA from 1 species